AUAGUUACCUGGCAUGGGAGAUACUACAAUCCCCACAAAGGUGGUUUUCCCAAGGCAAAGCGUAUCCCUUUCACCCUGGAUGUGUUCAUCCAGGGAUUUCCCCACAUGCAAGAAACAAGGCUGCAUAAUUUGUGGUAGUGAGGGAUGGUGUUCACACUCUGUCCUGG